rnacentral:lncRNA from 1 species
AACAGGCGUUAUGUUCAGCUUUAUCUGUCAAAAAAGUUGUUAAUAUGACGUACGGUGUGAAGAUAUGUUUUUAAAGAUAAGACUAAACUACUUUAAAUUAAAGUGCAACAAAGAAAUUCACAUAGUUUUAAUUUUCACAUUUAUAUAGAGGGUUCUGCGAGAAAAGGUAAUGAGAUGCUUUUUGGAUUAUUUUCUUGUAUUUCAGCUGCAUCAUCUGAUAUCACAUUGAAACCUGCGGGAUGGAUGGAAUGAAAAAGCCAAAAUUAGCGGCAUUUUUUAUCGUUAAUACCACGAAUGAAUGUAUCGGGGCAUAUGGAAAUUCGCCAAAGAGUAUGAGCCAAACUUCAUACAACAAACCAAGCCAACAGAUAUGUAAAAGGAGCGCAUAUAAUUAUUAUCGACGCAUGAAAACCAAUGCAUAGACGAUUCAUUUAAAUUUCCUGAUGAAAGAUAUGAUGUCAUUCAGAUUAGAUAAUGUUGUUUGUGUACUUCUUGAGGUUAAGGUGAUGAUCCAACGAAGCGUCGUCUGAUACAAUCGUCCGUCAUUUGGUUGCAUGGAAAGUGCUGUUAUCUGGAGUCUGAAAUUUGUUUGGUGUGAAACCUUUUUGGAUGUUGUCCUAAUGGAGUUAUGGAGGAUGUUUAUAAAGGUACGAGAUAAACAUUAUAAUGGCAAGCAAUUCUUAACGGCAAUAACUGUAAGUCCUUUUUGAGCAACAUAGGAUGACCCAUACUCUUUAUUAGUGGCUUAGAAUUAUUGCAGACGAAAAUAUAUCAGGGAUAUGUUCAGCAAGACUCUCGGAUAAGAAUUUUGCUUGGACUAUGAAACAUAUUUUGGCGAUCUAAUCGAGAUCUUCAAUGUAACCGCGGUUUGAGAGACAUUGAAAAAAAUUUAUCUCCUCCAGCUGUAAGCCAUCGAGUCGUUUUUAUUCAGUAGAUUUAUCCUUUUUUUUUCUUGGAAAACUUGCGUCAUGGGCUACAAUUGUAUUGUUGCUAGUUUUCGUCUUCGGACACAUUCGUCGUAUUUUCCCGUCGUCGUUCAUCGUCGUAAACCAACGGCGGUGUCACCAAUUUUAAGCCAUUGACAGGUCAAAAUAACGGCGGACAAUGAUGCGCAAUGUGAUAUUUAUGGGGUACGUAGACUGGCUCCGACUUGAGCAGUGAUGCAAAUCUUGGUGAUUUAUGGUGACAAAAACUUGCAAGUUUUUUAUCAUUUACAACAAUAAGUCGAUAUAAUAUUCACAGAUAGCUAUAUAUGAUCUAAUUUCAGCCACGACAGUUCAGCUAGACAUGAUAUUUCAAAAGUCAGGCGACUCUUUUCUAGGUUUAACUACUCUGGGUGGUACCAGUUUGUACAGAAUCAGGUUUCCAGAUAAAGCGUUUUAGAUAACCACUUGUAGCAGACUUUCAGAACAGCAGAAACACGGUUAAACGUGAACUUCGAGAAUUUUCUUAUGUAGGAAAAACAACUAUUUCUGUUAGGGAUGUUGAAGGUAAAGUUGCUCCUUAAUACUUUGAUUCAGAUGGGAUACAUGAUCUAUAUAUCGAUAUGGUUGUUGGUGGAUAUCCAGGUGAGAUUGGAUACAUCAUCUAUAUAUCGGUAUGGUUGUUGGUGGAUAUCCAGGGGAGUUUUGACUCAUGACGUAGGAAAUUGUCGACGUGGGAUCGGUCACGUAAAUGGAUGAUGGCAUGAUAAGAUCACGUCUUUUCCAAAUUCAUCUUCUCCAGAAUUAUGUUGCAGUAGAACUCCCUUGCUUGAAUUAUAUCAACAUAUUGUACAUUAGUGUGCUUGUUAGUUGAUGUCCAGAAUGAUUUUGAUGAUUUAGUACAAUACGUAGAAUUUGUUGGCAAACAAUGAAUAUGACAAUAUUAAGAGCUUGGAAAUUUACGUUUCUUAGAAGUAUAACUUUCUUGGAAAGUUAAAUUUCUUGGAAGUAUAACUUUCUUGAGGAAUGUGUAUGCCACACAUUGUCGUUGCUAGUUUAUUCCAGAGCAUUAAUGCCGCACGAAAAAUUGUUUGGCAGUGGGUGAAUUUGGCAAGGAAUUUCAGUACAAGGAAACAGAGAUGAAAUUUGCUACGGGUGAGAUGUUACGUUGUGUUCCAGGAAUUGGUGUUCAAGCUAUCCACAUGUGAACAGUUUCAGUUACCAAGGUUUUGGGAAUUAGAACUGCAGCAAUUAUUGGCAACAUCGCUUAAGGAAACAAGUUCUUCCAAAGUAAUGCUAUCCAGAAUGACGAAGCGGGAAUUGAAGGUAUUUCACCAGGGACAAUCUUAUUCUCCAUAUCAGCCUCAGUACUCCGACGUUUAAAAAUAGCGGAAAGACGGAACGACGUUGCACGCGGU